rnacentral:rRNA from 1 species
CCUACGGGAGGCAGCAGUGGGGAAUAUUGCGCAAUGGGCGGAAGCCUGACGCAGCGACGCCGCGUGGGGGAUGAAGGCCUUCGGGUUGUAAACCUCUUUCAGCAGGGGCGAAGCGGAAGUGACGGUACCUGCAGAAGAAGCGCCGGCUAACUACGUGCCAGCAGCCGCGGUAAU